UACGUAGGCAGCGAGCGUUGUUCGGAGUUACUGGGCGUAAAGGGUGUGUAGGCGGUUGUUUAAGUUUGGUGUGAAAUCUCCCGGCUCAACUGGGAGGGUGCGCCGAAUACUGAAUGACUAGAGUGCGGGAGAGGAAAGUGGAAUUCCUGGUGUAGCGGUGAAAUGCGUAGAUAUCGAGAGGAACACCUGCGGCGAAGGCGGGUUGCUGGGCCGACACUGACGCUGAUGCGCGAAAGCCAGGGGAGCGAACGGG
rnacentral:rRNA from 1 species